GCUUAUGUCACUCAAGACUCGCUGGCCAAUCAAGGCCUUCAGUCUGACCUGCCAGUCAGAAGUGGAGGCGGGUGCUUCCGGGUUCCAUGCGGCUGGUUCCAUGCUGUAGCUGAGGAGACUGGAAUGGUUUGUGUGUCCUGCUCUGUGUGUUACUGCUGGAUGAUGUGAGGGGAAUUCAGGCGAGCUCUGACCUUGCGACAUGGAUGCAUUGACCUUUGAUGAUGUGCAUGUACACUUCACUCGGGAGGAGUGGUCCUUGCUGGAUCCAUCUCAGAAGAGACUUUACAAAGAUGUGAUGCUGGAGAUCUACAAAAACCUCACUGCCAUAGGGUACAAAUGGAAAGACCAUAACGUUGGAGAACAUUCUCAAAAUGAUAGAAGAUAUGGAAGACAUGAAAGAAGUCCUGUUGGAGAGAACCACAAUGAAUAUACACAAUGUGAUAAAGCCUUCACAUAUCACAGUCAUCUUCAAAAGCUUGAAAGAAACCAAACUCGAGAGAAACACUCUGAAGGCUUUCAACAUAUGGAAGCACUUGCAUGUCAGAGUUCUCUCCAAAUACAUAAAAUAACACAUACUGGAGAGAAACCCUACAAAUGUAAUCAAUGUGAUAAAGCCUUUGCACAGCUCAAGUAUCUUCGAUUACAUGAAAGAAUACAUACUGGAGAGAAACCUUACAAAUGUAAUCAGUGUGAUAAAGCCUUUGCACAAGGCAGUAAUCUCAAAGUACAUACAAGGAUGCAUACUGGAGAGAAACCCUAUGAAUGUAAUCAAUGUGGUAAAGCCUUUUUACAAUCCAGCUGUCUUCGAAUACAUGAAAGAACACAUACUGGAGAGAAACCCUACAAAUGUAAUCAAUGUGAUAAAGCCUUUGCACAGCUCAAGUAUCUUCGAAUACAUGAAAGAACGCAUACUGGAGAGAAACCUUACAAAUGUGAUCAGUGUGAUAAAGCCUUUGCACAAGACAGUAAUCUCAAAGUUCAUACACGGAUGCAUACUGGAAAGACACCCUAUGAAUGUAAUCAAUGUGGUAAAACCUUUUUACAACCCAGAUAUCUUCGAGUACAUGAAAAAACACAUACUGGAGAGAAACCCUACAAAUGUAAUCAAUGCGGUAAAGCCUUUGCACAGGUCAAGUAUCUUCGAGCACAUGAAAGAAGACAUACUGGAGAGAAACCUUACAAAUGUGAUCAAUGUGGUAAGGCCUUUACACAAAGAGGUCAACUUCAAACCCAUAAAGUAAUACAUACUGGAGGGAGACUCUAAAUAUGUAAUCAGUGUGAUGAAGUCUAUUCACACCAGAGUCAUCUUCCAAUACAUGAAAGAACAUCAUAUACUGGAGAGAAACCUUAUAAAUGUGAUCAGUGUAGUAAAUCAUUUUUAUCUCACAGUCAUUAUCAAGCUGAUGAAAGAACACAUACUGGAUAGAAACUCUACAAAUAUAAUGAAUGUGAUAAAGCCUUUUCACAGCCCAGGUAUCUUCAAAUACAUGAAAGAACACAUACAGGAGAGAAACCUUACCAAUGUAAUCAGUGUGAUAAAGCCUUUGCACAAGGCAAUAAUCUCAAAGUUCAUACAAGGAUGCAUAUUGGAGAGAUCCCCAUGAGUGUAAUCAAUGUGGUAAAGCCUUUGCAUAUGACUAAUCUUUUGGGAUGCAUAAAAGAACAGAUUCUGGAGAGAAACAUUACAAACAUAAUGUGGUAAAGCCUUUGCAGAAAACAGUCAUCUUCAAACCCGUAAAAUACUACAUCCUGGAGAGACUCUGCAAAUGUAAUCAGUGUGAUAAUGCCUCUUCACAACAGAGAGGUCUCCAAAUACAUAAAAGGAAACAUUCUGUAGAGAAACCUUAGAAAUGUAGUCAAUGUGAUGAAGCCUAUUCACAGCACAAUGGUCUUACCUACAAUAACUCAUACUGGAGAGAAACCCUAUGAACGUAAGGGAUUUGGUAAAGCCUUUGCACAUUACAAUACGCUCCAAUAACAUAAAACGACCAUACUGAAGAAACUCUAUAAAUGUAAUCACAGGGUGAAGCAUUUGAACAUCACAGUAGUCUCUGGAAACAAAAAAGGAACCAUCUAGGAAAGAACUCCUAUAAAGUUCUUUAACAUGGUAAGGUCUUUGCACAUAUCUGUAGUCUUCAUCCUCAUGGAAGGAUUCAUACAGUAGAGAAACCAUAUGAACAAAAGAAAUGUAGUAAUGCUUUUGCUCAUCACAGUUAUCUCUUAUUAUAGAAAAAAGGAGAUAUUAGAGAAAGAUCCUACAAGUAUGAUAGAAGUGAUGAAGCCAUUGCACAACACAGUUAUCUCUGACUACAUUAAAGGAAAUAUAAUGAUGACAAACACUAUGAAUGUAAAAAGGGGGGGGGGUAAGCCCAUUAUAUAACAUGGUCAACUUUGAAUAUAGAAAAGUACAUACUAGACAGGAACCCUAUGAAUAUCAGCAAUGUAGUAAACACAUGAAACCAUUCAUACUGGAGAGAAACAGUAUUGAAGGUAUUAAAUAUGGUGAAGUCUUUGUAACAGUGGUCUGUAGAUACACACACACAAGUCUUCAUGCAGAAGAACAUCCCUCCAAAUAUAAUUGAUGUGAUAAACCAUUUUUAUGUUAUCUUUGAAUACAUCAAAGAACACAUACUGAAGAGAAAACCUAUGAGUGUAAGCAAUAGUGUAAUAUCUUUUCAUAUUAAGGUAAAAGAAUAAAUGCUCUGGAAAAACCCUCCUAAAGCAGUCUGUGAGAUGAAGCCAUUUUACAUCACAGUCAUCUUCAAAAGCAUGCAAAGAGUCGUUCUCGAGAGAAACCUUAUGAAUGUAUUUUAAAAUGUAAAGCCUUUGGAAAUUUCUAUAGCCUUCAUGAUCAUGAAACUAUUCAUAGAGGAGUGAAUCUCUGUGAAUGCAAGCAAUGUGGUAAACCCUUUGCUUACACAUUACAGUUCUCACAAAAUGCAGAAAACAACACAUACUGGCGAGAAACCUUAUGAAUAUAUUUAAUAUUGUGAAGCCUUUGCACAUUUCUGUAGUCAUCAUCAUGACUAUUUAUACUGGAGAGAAGGCCUGUGAAUGUGAGCAACGUGGCAAUCUUUUUAUUCACCAGAUGCAAAGAAAACAUACAGUAGAGAAACCUUAUGAAUGGGCUCACUGUGGUAAAGCCUAUGCACAUCACAAUAAUCCCUGAAUACAUAUAAGAACACAUUCUGGAGAAAAGCCCAAUGAAUGAAUGUAAUCAAUGACAUAAGAAAUUUGCAUGUGGCAGUAGUCUUUGAAUAUAUUAAAGAACAGAUACUAGAGAGAAAACAUACGACUGUUUGGGGAAAUGUGAAAGAACUCAUAAUGUAGAGAAUCUGAAUAUAAAGGAUUUGGUAAGAUCAUUACGUUCAGCUACACAAGAUUAUUCUGGAGAAAAGUAGUCCGACAAAUGUCAACCAUCUACUAAGCACAGUGUUCCUUUUUAUUUUACAUGCACCUGCAAACUCAGCUGGACAAAACUACUAUGGAUUUAAAUGACAAACAAAAAACCCUUUAGAUUUUUCUUCUCUUGAAUUUCACAAAACUCUGGUAUAAAAUUUUUGGGUGUGUAUUGAUGACUUUUUUGUUUCUGAGAUAAAACAUAAUAUCUAAUACAACUUACAAAGAAGUUUAGUUUGGCUUAUGGUUCCACACCACCAUAGUGUCAUUAAAUCAGUUGUGAGACAUGGCAGCUAAGGGAGGAAGCUCAGCUAUCACAUUUUCAACUUGCACCAUGUAGCAAGGAGUGGGAACUAGAGCUGUCAUACAGAUGUAAACUCUAAAGCCCACCUCCACUGACAUAUUUCCUCCACCAGGGCAUUAUUUGUUAAAUGAUACAAUGGUUUCAAAUGAUACAAUCAACAUAGAAGGAUUGAUUUCUCUGAUUGCAAACAUACCUCUGUAUGUAUUUAUAGCCCUGUAAAUAUUUGAAAGUGUUUAUGUAUUAUGUUGACAUCAGGUAAUAAAACAUUCAUACAUGAGAGAAAUCCUAUUCCCACAAACAAUUUAGUUAAGAUUUUGACAUCACAUUCAAUCCCCAUAAAAUUAUUGCUACACCUCUUUUUCCUUUUUUAUUUUUUGUUUUGUUUUGUUUUUUGAGACAGGCUUUCUCUGUGUAGCCCUGGCUCUUCUGGAACUGACUUUGUAGACCAGGCUGGCCUCGAACUCAGAAAUCUGCCUGCCUCUGCCUCCCAAGUGCUGGGAUUAAAGGCGUGCGCCACCAUCUCCCGGCUACACCUCUUUUUCUUAAUAGCCUUCAAGCAAGUAAAUAAUUCACCAUGUUCAUGCAAGUCUGAUGCUUCAUAUGAGGUUUAUAUUUUGAGAGUUCUGAACUUGGUGUUGAAGUGUGCUGUAUGUGUGACAAAUGCCAUUAUUUAAACGUGUUUUGGCUUAGAGACUAUUAAUGACUACUUCUAUUUCUUUAGGGGAUAUGGGACUGUUUAGAUCGUUAACUUGAUCCUGAUUUCAUCCAGGUUUUCCAGUUUUGUUGAGUAUAGCCUUUUAUAGAAGCAUCUGAUGGUGUUUUGGAUUUCUUCAGGAUCUGUUGUUAUGUCUCCCUUUUCAUUUCUGAUUUUGUUAAUUAGGAUGCUGUCCCUGUGCCCUCUAAUGAGUCUGGCUAAGGGUUUAAGCUUGUACAACCACUCUGGAAAUCAGUCUGGCGGUUCCUCAGAAAAUUGGACAUAGUACUACCGGAG
rnacentral:lncRNA from 1 species